UACGUAGGUGGCAAGCGUUGUCCGGAUUUACUGGGCGUAAAGGAUGCGUAGGCGGCCCUUUAGGUCAGAUGUGAAAUACCCGAGCUUAACUUGGGUGCUGCAUUUGAAACUGGGUGUCUAGAGUGCAGGAGAGGUAAGUGGAAUUCCUAGUGUAGCGGUGAAAUGCGUAGAGAUUAGGAAGAACACCAGUGGCGAAGGCGACUUACUGGACUGUAACUGACGCUGAGGCAUGAAAGCGUGGGGAGCAAACAGG
rnacentral:rRNA from 1 species